GUUUAAAAAGCCUAAACAUUGCAUUCUACCGUGUACGCACCAAACUUUGCGCAGUUAAGAAAUUAUCAUCGUAUUUUUGCUUCAAAUAAGGCUAAAAUAUGUAUUUUUUUAUUCAAUUUUCUGUCAAAGAUAGGCUUUUAGCCUUUCAGUAGAACACGUGAUUUAAAAAAAAUAAAAAAGAUUCAUAAAAAAUUAAAAAAAUGCAAGAGGUGAUGCAAUACCUUGUGCCUAACAUUGCGCACAAAAUCUGAAUUGUUCCUAACUUUGCGCAUAAUGUUCCUAACUUUGCGCAUGCCUUAAUUGCUCGUUCGCUCUAAAUAAUUUUACUUUUUUACUGGUUUUGCAUUAAAUAAAAAGGUUACAACUAAUAUGAGUUUCAUCAGUAGUUUUUCCGUGAAUUUAAAUUCAAUUUAAUUUAUUCAACAACCACAAACAUAGAGUGACCACGAAUAGUGAUUUACACUGUUCUUAUUUUUUAUUAUAUAUUCACAAGAUUACAAUCUGAGCAAUAUAGUUUACAGCCGUAGCAUAUACUUAUUUGUUUUCGUACGUUGCUUUAUAUAAUUUAUUCUCUUGUUUUUUUUUUUUAAUUUUUUAACCUUUUUUUAUUUUUUUGUUGUUUUUGUUUUUCGUUUUUCCUAUUUUGUUUCAUCUCCUUCAAUAACUACCGAAAUUCGAUGCUCGUAUUCACUGCUGAUGGCCGUGAACGAUUCAAUUUCGCACAAUUUAGAAGCUUUCUAAAGAAAAUCUUCUCUGUUGUACAUGUCGUCAGCUGGAAGUGAAGGAUUUCCAGAUGAACUUGACGAGUCAUUAGCAGUGAUGUGCUUCAAUUAAAGUUCAGACAUGCUAUGCUCGAGAGAUUUCUCGUUUGUCUAUUAAUAUUGCAAGCUGCAGGUUGCUUAGGGACUGUCCCUUAAUGGACGGACCUUUACUUUCAACUGAAGCUUCAUCGAAUCCAUGGAAAGCAUCGAUAAGUUCGGGAUUCGAUGUAUCGUUGAUCUCUCGUGAUUAAUUAUUUUUUAUUUAUUUGACGUCAGUACGGAUAUUCCAUAAUUGAACGUUUUUUGCUAGACAACUGAAUUUUGAAUUAUUGUCCAUGAAGUGGUAAGCCAACCUUUGCGCUAUCAAUUUUCCAAGUUCACAGUAAAAGUCUCCUCCUGCGUCAAGUGGGUUUUCCGAGAUUUUUCGAUGCAAACCUUGCCUUCAGCUUCAUACAAAAGGUCCUUUCAGAAAUAUUAUAUGUAGCCACUGCCUUAUGGAUUGAGUGACCAUUCCUGGUAAGAUCGACAGCUAUUAUCAUUUGUAAUGACGUACAUGUAUGUACGUGCCAUUUUGAAUUGCUAGAAGUGCGCAAAAAUUAAGACCCUCAUGUAAAAAAUGGGUCCUAACAUUGCGCAUCGCUUUUUUUUCAAAUAAAAAUUCGACAUAUUGUAUGGAAAAUUGAGGGAAUUACUAGAAUAUUACCUCUUUUUGCAAAUACACCGCAAAUAUACAUCUCACAACACAGUUUUGUUCGAAAAAAUGUUGAUUUUUGGCAAAGCCACUCCUUAGUGCUUGUGCUAAGACGGUGUAAAAGUUGACGUUUAUACGUGUGACGAUAGGGUUUUUGGGUUAUUUACUAACAUUUACGAGGUUUUCUUAGUAAACAAAUGUAUGUCAAAUACUUAUUUCACAUAAACGAACAUGUUACUGAAACUGAAUUGUUGAAAAAAUCAUUGAUUAAUUAUCAUUUUUUCAUGCUUCUUAAAAAUGCGCAAAGUUUGGAGCUGCGCAAAGUUAGGUGCGUACACGGUAACCGAUUAAUCAUGCAAGUUGUUAUGUAAAUAUUUCAUUUAACCGCCAAACACCUAAAAAACACACGGUUGAGUAAAAAUAACUCAACGUGCGGCAUUUAGAGUGCAUACUGCACGUUGAGUAGUUUAAACUUAAUUUUGGAUGAAAAAAUGCGGCAUCCAUUUUGAAAUGUCAACGCUGUUCAUUUCAGAUCAGUCAUCAGCGGUGUAAGACGUAAGCGUCAUGAUCUGCUUUGUUUAUUCAAAGUUGGACAAAAAAUCCAUAAUUUAGUGAAAUUUUGUUUAGUAAACUUUGAUUAGUACGUUAAUACUGUUCCUGACGUCGGUUUAUACAAAACUCCUAACAGCAGUGAAUUUUUCGGAUUUUGUGAAGGAAUUCAGUUAUUAAUAGAUUGUUGUUGAUGCACGAUUUUUGGAAUCAAGGACAGUCGGUUCCCGAUAAAUUUACUACACUGCAGGUAACUGUCGAGUUUCUUUUCGCCGUUCCUGCCACCCACCGUACACGAUUUUCGGCACCAGGAGCGGGUUGUAUGUUGUAAUGUAUCCUUACAAUAUAGCACUGAUACCGUGUUUAAUUAAAAUAAAAAGUUUUAUCUGCUUUAUCGUUCAAA
rnacentral:lncRNA from 1 species